UAUAUCUAUAUCUAUACUAUAUUAAUAAGCAUAUCCAAAGGACUUCUUAAGGUCAUUGUAAUUUCCUUAAAACACCCCUGAAACAUGAUGUACAAGUCUUUUAAGCACCAGAAAAUAUCACUUUCCAGUUAUACCCUUCUACUAAAAAACACGGGAUAUAUUAGGGUUUCACCAUUUCAAAACAUUUCAAAAUCGCCCGCUUUUCCCUGCUCCUCUCUCUCUCUUGCGAUUCCAGAUCUGGAUCUGGAUCUAGGGUUUUCCUCCAAGGCGAUUCAAGCUGCUAUUCAAGGAUCUUACAUCUGGCCCAUUCCCUUCCCUCUCACAAAUCACACAUCUCACAAAACUUCAUCAACCUUCUCUCUCCCUCGGCGACUCAUGAACAGAUCUGUGAGGAUUUCACAAGAUCUAGGGUGUUACUUUCAUUCGAUUUCAAAUCCAUGACCGGUGUUACUUUCAUUCGAUUUCAAAUCCAUGACCCCUUCCUGUGACGGUGUGGUGUGCAGAUGGUUGAAGAUGGAUUCCUAGCCGUCGCAUUUGGUGAAGACGGUGGUUUUUCUAAGAUGGUUGAAUAUGGAUUCCCAAGCCCUAACGAUGUCACAAUCAGAGCUCAUUGAUCAUGCCGAUUUGGACUUUUUAUUGGCACUUUUGGGUAUCUAGAUCCAGAGUACUCCAUGACCGGGCACUUAACUAGGAAAUCAGAUGUUUAAACAGCUCCAGAAAAAAGCACCCUACAAUGGCUGAUUUUGUGGUUACUCUUCAGCAAUCAUUGGCAUUGCAGGAGCAAUUUGACAGUUCUGCGCAUGCUGCAGGUUCAACGGGGUUCACCUUUAAAAUGUAGUAUCUACUUUUCGGGCCUAGACAUAACUCUGAAUAGUGGUAUAUGAUAGUCCAUUUAAGAAGCAUAUGAAGUUAACGAAGAUGAGCAUGGAGUGCAAGACACAUUUAUCUUACAAAAUAACCUUUUCUGUAAGUACAUGGAUGACAAACAAUCAUUUAUGUGAGUGGCAGUUCAAAGAUCAAAAAGAUUUUUUUUUCAAUUACUAAAAGAAUUGCAAUCAUUGAGAUUGAGAAGUCUCCUACUAAAUGUUGCAGUUUGCACUGAUUGUAACAAUGAUAUGCAUAAACAUUCAUCAAACAUUUAAGUCAACUCAAGAUUUAAGAGUACUAUAGUCUCACCUUUUUUGGUUGUUACAACAUGUUGAAUAUGAUAUAUUUUCUUGUUUUUCCUAUGGUAGGGGACCCUGACACACCCAUAAAGGGCGUAUCGAGCAUUCUUUUAGAAUGUUUUCAUACAGAGAUAUGGAACAUGCCACUAGAAAUUUCAGCAGUCACAUGUUGUUGGGUCGUGGACAUCAUGGAGAGGUAUAUAGAGGUUGGCUUGAUAAGAAGACCUUUUCCCCUUCAAUGUCUGAUAAUGGACUGAUCAUUGCUGUUAAAAGACUUGAUACAUACAAGUUAAACCUCAUAUGGUAAAGGAGCAGAAGAUGAAACUUUUGGAAGAAUUUAAUGAUCCCAACGUUGUUAAGAUCUUAGGUUAUUGCAUGAAAGAAGAUUCGAUACUCAUUGUAUAUGAGUUCAUGCAUCAAGGAACCCUAAAUGAUUAUCUAUUCAGUGUUGAAAGAAGAACAGAGCGGCACCUGUUUAAUUCGAGGGUCAAAAUUGCAAUAUGGAUUGCUCGAGGUCUUGUUUUUUUUGCGCAUACAGCCUCAACUUGUGGAUUGCUCAUUACAGAUGCACAAUAUAUUGUUGGAUGAGGUAUAAUUUACUGAUCGCACACAAACAAGAGAUUGGACAACUCUUAACUUUGGAGCAAGGAAAACCUCUCAGAGAAGCUAUUGUGGAGGUGUGUACAUCAUAAAGCCCUCUGAGCUCACACCAUUGACCACGUUAGCAGCAGCUGAGCUGGCCCUUCAAUCUGGAAUUCCGCCUAUAAACCCACGUCAACCACAACUUUUUUUUUAUCACCGAGUCAUGUAGCUCAAAUGAUAGGCGACGGGACUAUCCGAAUGUAUGCGGGCCAAAACAGAAAGCGUUAUGGAUAGCCCACACUACCAGCUUACAACAUAGCACACAUUCCGAAGGAAGUUUCAUAUUUCCCCAGUCAUGGGGUGCAUAUUCCCUUUCUAAUGUCAAUUAUGUAAAUCAUUUGUAAAAGACGCUUCAACAUCUGUUACAUGCGUUAUUGUACAGAACAUGCUAUUGCAAAGAUGUUUUAAAAUGGCAAGAACAUGCUUAAUCUCUUCAAACUUAAGCAACCCCUGACUUAUGUGCA